rnacentral:rRNA from 1 species
GUGGGGAAUCUUGCGCAAUGGGCGAAAGCCUGACGCAGCCAUGCCGCGUGAAUGAUGAAGGUCUUAGGAUUGUAAAAUUCUUUCACCGGGGACGAUAAUGACGGUACCCGGAGAAGAAGCCCCGGCUAACUUCGUGCCAGCAGCCGUGGUAAUACGAAGGGGGCUAGCGUUGCUCGGAAUUACUGGGCGUAAAGGGCGCGUAGGCGGAUCGUUAAGUCAGGGGUGAAAUCCCAGAGCUCAACUCUGGAACUGCCCUUGAUACUGGCGAUCUUGAGUGUGAGAGAGGUAUGUGGAACUCCGAGUGUAGAGGUGAAAUUCGUAGAUAUUCGGAAGAACACCAGUGGCGAAGGCGACAUACUGGCUCAUUACUGACGCUGAGGCGCGAAAGCGUGGGGAGCAAACAGGAUUAGAAACCCUUGUAGUCC